rnacentral:rRNA from 1 species
CUGGUUGUAAAUACCUUCAAUUGCAUCGGAUUUGGUCUGAUCUCGGAAGCUAAGCAGGGUUGGCCCUGGUUGGUACUUGGAUGGGAGUCCACUAGUAAAUAUCAGGCUCUGUUUCAC